AAACUCCGUACAAUUCGUUGUGUAUUGAGUUCGUCGGAAACACGAAUGGAAUAUCAUUUUACGUGGACUUUUCAGUUUGAGGGUACAAGAAGGUAGGAUGGCGGCUAGUUCUUCAUCAGAAAAGAAUGGUGUAGCUGUUCCAAUGGAUUCAUAUGGCUCUACAGAUGAUACAGUGACUCUGACCAGUAAAGACUUUCUGCAAGGAGAUACUUCAUCCCGGGAUCCUCUACUUACCCUGUCAACGUUACGUAACAGCAAUGAUCAUCCUGGUACAUACUUCAAUGAUGGAAAAAGGAAAAUUGACUUCAUUCUGGUCCACGAGGAGGAGCGUCUGUCAGAGAAACAGCUCCAGAAGCGGGAGAAAGAGAGGAGCGACCGUCGGGCCAGUAACCUCCCUCCCAAUGAGGAGGACGCCAAGGAGCAGCAGCACGCUGCCUGGAGAAAGAAGUUCUUGGAGACAAUCCAGCGGGCGGGGCUCCAGAUCGAGGAGGACGUGGUGGAGUUGGAGAAGAAGAUCAUCACCUAUCACAAGCUCCACGCUCCCUGGAACACCCUGGUAUUCUUCGCAGAGGAGCUCGGUCUCAAGGCCCCGCUGACCGCCUUGCUGAACUUGCCAAAGAAUACAUCUGAUCAAUUUCUGAAGAAGAUGGGUAUCAAGAAUAGCUUCCUCAACCAAAAUGUGCCAAACCAGCCUCCAGAUUUCAUGACCUGUGCGUUCAGAGUCAACAAAAUAAAAAAGUAUCUCAAUAAUGAUCACAAAGAGCAGUUCUUCAGCAACGUGGACCGGACACGCGUCGUCAACGAAAUCCUGGAGACGACGACAUAUGGCAAGCGGAAGAGGGCAGAGGUUGGCAUCAGCCGUCUUCUGGAAGAGGAAAUAUUUCAUGGCGCGUUCCCUCUGCAUGAUGGUCCUGAGAAAGCUCCUGGUCCAGGGGUCAAGGAAGAAGACUGGAACAAGCGACAGAUUCUGAAGAAAUACUGGGCCAGAUGGGGUGCCUGGGCCAAGUACCAACCUCUAGACCAUAUUAGGGAGUAUUUUGGUGAAAAGAUUGGUCUCUAUUUUGCAUGGCUAGGGUUAUAUACAGGUUGGUUACUACCUGCCUCUAUCAUCGGUAUAAUCGUCUUCAUCUAUGGACUCAUAAUGAUGCCCUUCAACCCAGUAGCGAAUCAAAUAUGCGACAGUGGUGGAGACUUCCUCAUGUGUCCCCAGUGCGAUAAGGAGAUAGGAUGCACAUACUGGAAUCUAUCAGAUACAUGCUUAGAAGCAGAGAUAUCCAUUCUGUUUGAUCAUCCAGGAACGGUAUUCUUUUCAAUAUUCAUGUCAUUCUGGGCUGUAUCAUUCCUUGAAAGCUGGAAGAGAAAGCAAGCCAGUCUUGCUCAUCACUGGGAUUGCUGGAACUUUGAAGAAGAAGAGGAGCGUCCCCGACCCCAGUUUGCAGCCCAAGCCCCCGCCAUGGAAGAAAACCCCAUUACUGGCGUCAUGGAACCAUACUUCCCGGAAGAUAUCAAGAAAAGGAGAUGGCUAACUGGUAUCUUUGUCAUCGUUGGCAUGGUAACCUUGGUGAUCAUCUUCUUGACGGGUGUGAUUAUGUACCGAGUUCUGAUCAGCAUCCCUCUGUCACAGAAUGAACUGUUCAGGUCCAAUGCUCAGACCAUUGCCAGUAUUUCAGGAGCCAUCCUCAACUUGAUCUUGAUCAUGGUGCUAGGUCAGGUGUACCAGAAACUAGCCGUCAUCAUGAAUGAUUGGGAGAUGCAUCGGACCCAGACGGAGUACGAGGACAACCUAACCUUCAAGGUCUUCGUCUUUCAAUUCAUGAAUUUCUUCUCAUCCAUCUUUUACAUCGCAUUCUUCAAGGGAAAGUUUCUUGGUUACCCUGGCAACUACAACACAUUUUUUGGUCUUCGAGAUGAAGCUUGUGGUACCGGUGGAUGUCUGGUUGAACUGGCCCAGCAACUAUUUAUUAUCAUGGUUGGCAAACAGAUCAUCAACAAUUGCCAAGAAUUAGCCAUUCCGAAACUGAAGCAGUUUAUCAUCAGAUGGAAGCUCAAGGGCUCAGCGUUUGGAGGAUCGGAAGAAGAAGGAUCCCGCUGGGAAGAAGACUACCAACUUGUACCUAACGAAGGUCUCUUUGAGGAGUAUUUGGAAAUGAUCAUCCAGUUUGGGUUUAUCACCAUCUUCGUGGCUGCCUUCCCCCUUGCCCCUGUCUUUGCCAUUCUCAACAACUGGCUUGAGAUAAGACUAGAUGCCCAGAAAUUUGUCAGUGAGCUGCGGCGGCCCGUUGCCGAGAGGGCGCAAGACAUCGGGGUGUGGUUCGACAUCCUUGAGAUUAUCGCACAGAUCGCUGUCAUCAGCAAUGCCUUCUUGAUUGCCUUCACAUCCGAAUUCUUACCAAAGCUGCUCUAUCAGUACCAAUAUAAUUUCAGUUUGGAUGGGUAUGUUAACUUCACCCUAGCCUAUGCUCCGUUAGAUGCUCCAGAUGCUCCUUGCAGAUAUAAAGAUUUCCGAGAUAUGAAUGGAGAGUACACCAGAUUCUAUUGGCAGCUUUUGUCAGUCAAGCUAGGUUUCGUCAUCCUCUUCGAGCAUUUUGUAUUUGGUAUUUCAAGAUUCAUUGACUUUAUCGUCCCAGACAUUCCUGAAGCGUUAGAGAUCAAGAUAAAGAAAGAAGCUUACAUGGGCAAACAAGCGCUUCAGGAAUUCCAGUGAUGACACAGAUGCAUUCCAUGUGGUUUGAUUUAAAGUAGGUCAUUUGGAAUUGAUCUGUGUUGAGAAGGAUGAAGACUGAUAUGGCGUUAUCAUCAAUCAUCGAACAUCCGUGGUCCUCAACGCUUUUUGUAUCUUUGUUACUUUUUUAUGUCGAUGAAGGUUAUGAAUGAUGCCCCAAAGAUGAGGUUGACUGUAGGCUGCUUUGGAAAUGACGAAAGGGCAUUAAUUUGAAUUAUAUUUCAUGAACUAAAGAACCUUUCUAGAACAAUUAUUUCAAAGUAGCUCAUUUGAUGAAAAUUUUUCUCUAGCCCAUUAAUAUAAAUUUGCCAAUUUAUUUAAGACCAUCACCUGCACAGUUGUGUUCUUUCAGAGUUUGUAGCUUUAAGUAGUAGAAUAAAAAUAUGCUUUAUUACUAUUUAAAGUAUAUAUUGCAUCAUCUUUGUUAGAAGUGCAUUGAACUGUGUACUUUCUUUGAUGGAAGUUUGUGGCAUUUGGUAAAUUCUUGUCCAUGUGUGCACUAUUGAAAACAGGCACACAGGCAUUUAUUACCCUUAUGCUUGGACCAAUAGGCCGUAUUCUAAAGUCAGGCUUAACUUAGACCACUGUCUGUGCUAAGUCUGUGCUAAAAUUAUGGAGAGCCAAAAUCUAAAAAUUCUGUUUAUAAAUAUUGUAUCUUUCUUAUGUUUACUGUUUUGUUUCCUUUUGUUUUCAUAAUAACGAAAAAUAAUUCAGUUGUCAUUCCCAGAUAACUAUGAAUGAUUUGAGUGUCAAAUGAGUUAAUGAAUUGGAUUUGUGCUCCAAUUGGCUCUCCAUAGUUAAACCACAACUUUAAACCAGGAUUUGAUGUAAACCUGAGUUCAGAAUACAAACAAAUUAUACAAACAAUUUAUUUCAGAAUACAAUACAAACAAUUUAUGGUUUCAAUAUGGAUGUAGGUAGCAUCGGAUUACUAGUUUAAAACCAAAGUGAAUAAUGUGUUUUCUAAUUUGGAAUUUAUUGUAAUGGAAAUCAGAAAGAUAUAUAUAUAUAAAAUCAUGUUUAUUUAUGGUGGCAGAGCAGAUGGUUAGAAAUAUAUUGAUAUGAAUCGGGACAUGCAAUGUGUCAUUAUGUAUAUGUUUUGUACUUUAUCAUUUUGCUUUAGAUUAUAUGCAAGUAUUAAACUUGUACAUCAACUUUUUAUGACAAAGAGGGUAUGGUUAUUUAGAUAAAAAGAGUACUGUAGUUCAUUCUUAGAAAAUAGACCAUUUUAUUUCAGCAGAUCAAUAGCUAUUGCAUUGGUUUAAGUCUGUAUGUCUCCUGCUAUGGGAGGCCUCAGAUUACAUGUAUUUUGUUUUGCAUGUACAUUCACAUGGGUAUAGAAUGUCUUGAAAAUAUAUUUUGAAUUUAUAAUCCUGAAUAAUAGUACAGGAUUUGUAUUCACUUGAUAUUAUAUUGGUUAAAAAAACAAUGAAGGUAUUAUUAUGUAAAGGCUGAUACUUUUAUUUAAACUAUUAAAUGGGUUUGAAAAAAGUGAUAAUGAAGGUAUUAUUAUGGAAAGGCUGAUAUUUUUAUGUAAACUAUUAUAUAGGUAAAAAAACAAGAUAUUAUUAAGAAAGGCUGAUACGUGGAAAAACUAUUCAUUUCCUUGUAAGUUUUCGCAAAUUUCUUGACAAUGUGCACCUUUUUAAUAUUAAUUUUCUACUUUCAUUUGUUAUGUACAGUGCUUUUAAGUAUGAACACAAAUCAUGGCUGUAAAUAUUGGGAGGCAAGGCAUUAAUCCACAUCUCCCGCUCUCUAUCCAGGUGUACAUUGGUAUGAAGGAAUUAUUCCCUGAAUGCCUUGAGCACUGGAAUAGAUCACCUAGCUAUGAUUUGGAUAGGACUUAAGCAUCUUAAGCAUUUCAUUCGGUGGAGUUUUUUUUAUAUUAGAUUUAUUAUCAUCUUAUCAUUGAUGUCAUCUUUGCUUUUCAGAAUUUGUUAUCUUGUACUUUACUGAUACCUGUCUUUCAUAUUCAUUAUCUUACCUUGAGCAAACUUUAAAAGUAGGCUGAUUAUACUUCUCUUUUAUGGUGACAAGUCUUCCUAUGGUAUUGGAAUUGUAUUCUUUCAAAGAAAUAUCAUUAUUACAUGUAGGUAUUAUUCAUCAUCUUCCUGAAUCCUUUCUAAAGAGGUCUUUUACAGUCUUCCUUUACUUCAGCUAAUAUUGCUGUAUUUAAUCACAAAGUACUAUAUUGAACAAAAGUUAUUCUUGUAGUCUUGCAUUCCAUUAAAAAAACGAUUAAGAACUUGAAAAAACUUUACUAUUUUUUUAAUGUCAGCAAGCAUUGCUGUAUUUAAUCACAAAGUGCUAUAUUGAACAAAACGUUAAAAUUCGUCUCACAUUCCAUUAACAAAACAAUUUAAGAGCUUGAAAAGACUUUACUAUUUGUUUAAUGUCAACAAACAUUGCUGUAUCAAAUCACAAAGUGCUAUAUUGAACAAAAGUUCUAAUUCUUUUAGUCUCACAAUUGAAAAAGAAGUGAUUAGACGCUAGAAUUCCCUUUAAACAUAUAAUCAUUCCAUUUUAUAAUGCACAUGAAAUUAUCGAUCAUGAUACAUAAUGUUUUGUACAUUUUUAUUACAUACAUUCUUGAGUUUCAUCAUACAUGUAUAUCUACAAGCGCAUUGCAUGACAGAGAUAGUAUAGAUUGUUUGUGACAUACAUAAAUAACUAUUUAUUUAUUUGUAAUUUCAUAACUUUGACAUUGUAGCACUAAAAUUGAUAAAAUUUGAUACUAUGACACAGCAGUACUUAAUCUUCUCAAAGCUUCUUAAAAUUAAUUUGGAUUACGAAUUAUCCAACAAUUUAUCCUCUACAAUAUUCAUUACAGCUUCUCGCUUAUCUUACUUUAACAUAUAAUAAGUAUAUUUACAAAUACAAAUAUAAUAGCAGUAUAUACAAUUUGUGAUGAAUAAAUAUAUAUAUAUGCAUUCUGGCAGUUAACAUUAUUGUUUCACAAAGAUAACUUUGAAAUUGAUAUGGGACAUCAUAGAAAAU
rnacentral:misc_RNA from 1 species